rfam:Fomitopsis pinicola FP-58527 SS1 unplaced genomic scaffold FOMPIscaffold_29, whole genome shotgun sequence.
GGCUCUGUAGUGUAGCGGUUAUCACGGCGGAUUCUGAUUACGUAAUCACUUCCGUCAACCCAGGUUCGAGCCCUGGCAGGGCCU